UACAGAGGUCCCGAGCGUUGUUCGGAUUCAUUGGGCGUAAAGAGCUCGUAGGCGGUCUGUCGCGUCUGCUGUGAAAACUCGGGGCUUAACCCCGGGCCUGCAGUGGGUACGGGCAGACUAGAGUGCGGUAGGGGAGACUGGAAUUCCUGGUGUAGCGGUGAAAUGCGCAGAUAUCAGGAGGAACACCGGUGGCGAAGGCGGGUCUCUGGGCCGAUAAUGACGCUGAGGCACGAAAGCGUGGGGAGCAAACAGG
rnacentral:rRNA from 1 species